UGGCGAUGACGACAAAAAGGCCAGACUUACAAUGCAAUGAUGUGGUUGGUAGUUGAGCGAUGAAAGUUACAAGAGGAAUAUGUGUUCAGCCAG